rnacentral:rRNA from 1 species
CAGCCGCCGCGGUAAUACGUAGGGUGCGAGCGUUAAUCGGAAUUACUGGGCGUAAAGCGUGCGCAGGCGGUUGUGUAAGACAGGUGUGAAAUCCCCGGGCUUAACCUGGGAACUGCGCUUGUGACUGCACAGCUAGAGUAUGGCAGAGGGGGGGUGGAAUUCCACGUGUAGCAGUGAAAUGCGUAGAGAUGUGGAGGAACACCGAUGGCGAAGGCAGCCCCCUGGGCCAACACUGACGCUCAUGCACGAAAGCGUGGGGAGCAAACAGGAUUAGAUACCCGUGUAGUCCCUGUCUCUUAUA